rnacentral:rRNA from 1 species
UACGUAGGGGGCUAGCGUUGUCCGGAUUUAUUGGGCGUAAAGAGCGUGUAGGCGGCCGGAUAGGUCUGCUGUGAAAACUCGAGGCUCAACCUCGAGAUGUCGGCGGAAACCAUUUGGCUAGAGUCCGGAAGAGGAAAGUGGAAUUCCUGGUGUAGCGGUGAAAUGCGCAGAUAUCAGGAAGAACACCCGUGGCGAAGGCGGCUUUCUGGGACGGUACUGACGCUGAGACGCGAAAGCGUGGGGAGCGAACAGG